UCACAGAUUAACUUUUGAUACGCGUCUUCAGUCUCUGUGCUAGCGCCGAUUCGUACGUGUGCAACGUAACACGUUUUGCUGCCGCUGAUUAUUAAAUUUGUAUUAACGCCGCGAAUUGCUCGUAAAGCGUAAUUUGACUGGUAACCCAAGGUGAAGGUAUUACGGGUGGCAUCACGGCAUAUAUAAAGCGCAACGAACAGGAGCUGGAGACGAGGAGAAAGAGUGGAACGGAGUCAGUCGCGCCAAGUUAGACGAAGAACGAGCGAAUAUUUUCCAAUUUGCAUUUUCGUGUGAGACGGCAAAGAACACUCGGUACAUCGAAAUGCAUCUAUCGGCAUUGCUUUGCCUUACCAUAACGUGCGCCCUCGCACACUCGGCGGUCGGCAUCACAGAAAUUUUCGACUCUGACACCGUGUAUUUCCCUGACCAAGCGGAAUACAUCAAGUUCGCUACGAAGUGUAAAGAUAACAUGGUAUUGUGGCCAGGAAAUUAUCGGUGCUACGUAGAAGGCGAGCAAGGUCCCUGUAACGUCGGUCGGGUACUGAUAUUCGACCGUCGGUUACUGAAACCGUACUGUAAAGACUUGAUAUUUUGACGGUCCUACGUCUUCCCUACAGGAAGAAAUGUAAUCAACUGUUGGCGAUGUGUAACUUACUACGUAAGCAAUUUGAUACGCGAUAGAUGACGGUAGCGACUGUAAAUUUUAUUUCCUGAGACAAGUGUUCGGGGAAAGGAAAAGCGCUGAGUUCCGGCUCAACUCUAUCUGACGCAGACAAAAAUAUUUGUUCAAGUGAAACGCGUAAAAAUUUCCAUAACGCAAGCAUAAAUACCGUCCUUCCUGACUGUGUGUAUCCAAUGUAAGCAGUUACAUUUCGUGAAAAUAACGUUAUGCGGUAAUAUGUAUAAAGAGGUAGAUUGACGCACUCGCUGCAUUUGCGUUAUGGAAAUUUGCGCCUUUCCUAGGCACAAAUUUGUAAUUUGAAGACGGGUUUUAAAAAACAAACUCAAACAAAAAAAAAUUAGUUAGAUAAUUAAUACGACGCUUUAACUUUUGCUCAGAGAUAUAGAAACUUAAUUUAAUGUAUGUCAUAAUGAAAAGUGAUGUUAAAUAUAACGUCGAAUUCAUCUCUUGUUAGACUUAUCAUAUAAAUGCAUUAACUGAAAUGAAUCUUGCCCUAAUUUAUAUCUAUACUUAUUGUCGUAAUUAUUAAGCUAAGUUUUUCGUACGUAAUUAUUUUUAAUUGGAGAUGCUUAUAAUACAUUUAUUUAUUGUUUAUACGCUUUAAUUUAUCAUAAGAUUUAAUAGAAAUUACAUUUCUUUAUAACUUGCUUAAGAUUGUAUUUUUGUUACAAUAAAUUUUCAAUUUAAUAUGUAAUAAUUUAAAUGUAUAUAAAAGUACCUUUACAGAUUAUGUUGUUAAAAGAUAAUUAUAUGUAGAUAAGUAAAUGUAUAGAGUGAUUUUUGUUUUUUCAUGUAAAUAAAAAAUACUUCUUAGUUCAAACAUUUUUUGUUUGACAUCAACUUUACAGGUAUAGCGAUUACCUCAUCGAUUUUUUCUACUUGUACUUAAACUAAAGAUUAAAUAAAACAUUAAAAAAAUAA
rnacentral:lncRNA from 13 species